rnacentral:rRNA from 1 species
AACGAACGCUGGCGGCAUGCCUAACACAUGCAAGUCGAACGAGAAAGGGGCUUCGGCCCUGAGUAAAGUGGCGCACGGGUGAGUAACGCGUGGGUAAUCUGCCCUCGGGUCUGGAAUAACCUGCCGAAAGGUGGGCUAAUACCGGAUGACGUCCUCCUGCACAAGCAGGGGGUCCAAAGGUGGCUUCGGCUGCCGCCCAAGGAUGAGCCCGCGUACCAUUAGCUAGUUGGCAGGGUAACGGCCUACCAAGGCUACGAUGGUUGGCUGGUCUGAGAGGACGACCAGCCACACUGGGACUGAGACACGGCCCAGACUCCUACGGGAGGCAGCAGUGGGGAAUUUUGGACAAUGGGCGAAAGCCUGAUCCAGCAAUGCCGCGUGCAGGAAGAAGGCCUUCGGGUUGUAAACUGCUUUUGUACGGAGCGAAAAGGUUCUCUCUAAUACAGAGGGCUCAUGACGGUACCGUAAGAAUAAGCACCGGCUAACUACGUGCCGGCCGCCGCAGUAACAC